rnacentral:rRNA from 1 species
AUUGAACGCUGGCGGCAGGCCUAACACAUGCAAGUCGAACGAGUGGCGGACGGGUGAGUAAUGUUUGGGAAACUGCCCGAUGGCGAGGGAUAACUACGGGAAACGGUAUCUAAUACCGCAUACCAUCGGAUGUGCCCAGAUGGGAUUAGCUUGUGGGUGAGGUAACGGCUCACCUAGGCGACGAACCCUAGCUGGUCUGAGAGGAUGACCAGCCACACUGGAACUGAGACACGGUCCAGACUCCUACGGGAGGCAGCAGUGGGGAAUAUUGCGCAAUGGGCGAAAGCCUGAUGCAGCCAUGCCGCGUGUAUGAAGAAGGCUUUCGGGUUGUAAAGUACUUUCAGCGGGGAGGCGUUAUCCGAAGAAGAAGCACCGGCUAACUACGUGCCAGCAGCCGCGGUAAUUC